AAUCCUCUUCGUGGAAUAUAUUCGAUUGGUCCUAUGUUUUCCUGAUCUGCAGGAUUCUCCCCUUCGCAGGAUAUCCAGAUUGUGUUCAACUGAACUCCGGCUUCCAACCGUAUAUCUAGAAUAGACGAUAGAUAUUAAACAGAGAAGGAGACAUGUAAGGUAAUUCAACAUGGACAAGCACGGAUGAGUAACAAAAAUGAAAAAAAAACGUUGUUGAAGAAAAUCAACGUUACCUUGUUAAGUUUCAAAAAUAUACACGGAGCGGAUUUAUGAUAAUUGUACUUGUUUUCUUUCGUGCAAGGAUACCAGUUUUUAACAUCAACGUCGCAAACUUUGCCAGGAGGAGGCGGCUGAUUGUAGUCGCAUUUAUUUAUGUUCGCACCAAGACCGGGAACUGAACCUGGCGUUAUGUAAUCUAAAAAAAAAAAGAGUCAUUGAUUGUCAAUUCUGAUUCUUCAUUACACAAUAUCACUUAUUGUUACUCUAUAUAAUUAUAAAUUACGUAAUGAUAUAUAAUCCAGUGUGUACCUUUCAGAAACGAUUCUAGAGAAUUGACCCAGAAUUUGAAGUUCUCGCUAUCAGUUCCCCUGUACCAGAUUAGGGUACUUUCUACGUUGUCUAGCGGCGGCUGUGGCCUAAAUCCUAGCCCUGUAAGUAAAGAUGUUCAGUAACGUGUGACGACUACAGGAAGGAAAACUUGAUAAGAUUUGUUCCGAUUAUUGAACGUUCUAAUUGCCACCUCGGUAUCCUUGGAUCUAACGUUUGGAAGAAACCCCAGAAGCAGAUUGCAACCAGCGCGGCCAGUACACCGUAGAAUAUCAAAUAGAACAAUCCUAUUUUCCCUGGAAAACGAAUUCUAUUCUAGCUAUGAGCUGUCGAGCUUAGGAAAGAGGAUUGCAAAAUAUCCAAAUAGUUUCUGGGAUUGAAACGGAGCAAUUAACUACACGACAGGCCGUUCAAUCAUACUCGUACAUCCGAGUCUCGUUUUCCACAUUUCCGUUUUCAAUUUACACACAUUUCCGUCCAAUUUUUUUUCUUUUUUUCAUAGUUCCACACAGCAAAGCAUAUCAAACUGGAGAUUUGACUUAAAUGUGAUUUAUAUCUGGUAAGCAACGCAGAAGUGGAAAGAUCUACAUAAUUUAAAAAAAAAGGAUGUUUGAACUUGAAGACCAGCCACAAUUUAAUUGGCCAAACAAUUAUAGAUCAAGAACUAAUAAUUCUUUCCGACGUGGUGCCAUCAUCAUCUUCGUUCGCUUUCGAGUAAUAACGGCGAAACAACUUUAUCGGAUAGCAAUAACUGGAUAAUAAGCUUUACAAGCGCAAAAGGGUUAAAGUUCUCUCGGUACCAAAAUGGUACACACAAGAGGUCAUUUCAGCGGAGACUGGAAUCCGAGAAGCGACCUUGCGAGACAUUGAAUCGGAAGCCAACAAAUAGGCAAAAACUGUCAUGCGUAGAGCAGAGCUCUACCGCCGCGAGUUCUCGGCGGCAAAUUUCGACACUGAUUCUGGAAAUUUUUGGGAAGAUCGAUGCUGAACGAAAGCUCAUGGUACGGUCGCGUGGGUGUACCCUUCGGAAUGGCCCUAAGUUACAUAAUGCCGUAAUGCCUCCAUUUAACGCCAAUUGACCUCGUUGUACGCGUUUGCGCUAAAGGAAGUUUAACAAUUGCCAUUCAGCCGAGCAAACCGUUGUGUGUGCACCGCGAAUUAGCCGCGCUUCGCGCUUCCGUCUUUUUCUCUCCCUUCCUUUUUUUCUUUUCUUUUUUUUUUCCUUCUUCCUUCCCUUCAUUUCGGCCAAACCAAUCAAGGGCACACGCGCGUGGCCCUCCCCCACCCAAUCGAUAAACACAACACACUAAGCAGCGUCAAGCUUGUUUCCUCUCCUGCUUGAAAUAAGUCGACGUUCCUUCGUUUUAUGCUCUACAAUGUACGUACAUAAUUCCACGAACAAUUAAUUUAAUUAAAUUACGUUCAUUUUGAUUUUAAAUGUCGAUAUCUUUGAAUGCACGCAUACGACUCGAUGUACGAUUGACAUUUGUAUUUGGUUGUUGGUUCAGCUUUGGAGAUUCGAGAUUCACCGAAGCGUUAAAAAAAAAGAAGGUUAAGCCGAGGAAAGAAAAUCAAUUGUACACCGAAGACGUUAAAAUUGAAAUAACAAAUGUGUUGAAAUUGAAAUAUUAAUAUUGUAAUAUUUUUGAGAUUAACCAAGUUGAAAUUGUCCCGAAAGUAAAAGAGGAUUUGAUACCGAUAAGAUUUCGCUAAUAACAUAAGCGUUGAAGUGUAAAAGAGAACCGAUACGUGGAUAUUUCACGAUGCGUAGAUACGCAGCAGGAAUUGUAAGCGGUCGAAGAGAACCGAGGAAACAAUACAAGGGUGACACGGCGUUGAAGCUAGUUUCAAGGCUAGGAUAAAUCACAGGCGGGAUAUAUAUUUUAACAGUGCAAUGCAAUUUGCAAGAAAACUGCAAAACAACGACAAACAGGCUUCUGAGCUAAUUAAACGAAAGAAGACGCAACCUCAUGUGAUUCUACCUCUCUCUAUCUUUCUAUGUUUUUUGUGGGUCUUCUAUGUACUAUUGAAACUGUUGCAGACGAACGAUCAUGGCGUGUGAUGAUUCUACAGAUCAUAAAUAAAUACCUUGUUUCAACUUUUACUAUAUACUACAUUGUUAAAUAUUGGUAAUAC